ensembl:lncRNA
CCUGAAUGUUCAUUUUGUACUUAACUCGUCAAAUCAUUUAUCCCAAGACUUACUUCUAUGCUUUGAAAAGGAACAAUUUCAAAAUGUCAAUAAACAAUGAUCUCAAUUGCUCACCAAGACUAAAAAAAUGCAUGGUUCUGAGUGAGAAGGAUGUACUUACUGAAGAGAGAAGACCCACCCUGCAUGUGAGUAGCACCAACCAAUAGGCCUGUGGCUGGAGAGAAUAAAAAGGGAAAGCAGAGGAAGGAUGCAGCCUCCUGUCUCUCACAGUAUGAACUGUUUCACCUUUCCCCAUCUGCCAUACUGCCCUGCCUUGAAGACAGUUGACUAUGGACUUGAACUUCUGCAAAUUGUGAG